CUUCCUCUUGUGAAACUACUAAAGCAGCUCCAUCCAGCUGAGGAUUCAAUCGUCCAGCUGACUGAUCGAAGUGGGACAGAUCUCUGCUCGCUCGCCUACAAACACACAAGAUGAAAAUUGCUGUCUUUAUCAUCUUCAUGGCCACUCUUGCCCUUGUUGAUGGUUUAACUGUUUCAAAUUAUAGAGGAGUCAUUGAUCAGCACAACAAAUUUCUUAACAAACACGUCUUUCUGCAGAACAUUCCUGACACAAACGAUUUGGAUGCCUGGAAAAGGUACCUAGAUAGGUAUGGCCUCUGCAACGACAAACGUAGAACUACUCAGACCUUCAUGUCGAGGACCACCUUUCAAACCCAGAGAUUCUGUCAACACAAUACAUGUGAAGGGAACUUAUGUACCAGUGACUCAACCGUGAACCAUUACAUUGUCAGUGUCGACUUCACCACCAACAGCUGCAUGGUUACACGUGUAAUCCAAUACAACGGAUAUGUGGUUGUGGGCUGUGAGUAUGCUAAGCAAUGCUUUCCUGCCCAUUUUCAUUCGUCUGAGCCAAACAGGCCAAACUGGAAUGGUCGACCCUGUUUUUAUAAGAAGGGUUAAAACGUUUUUAGAGGCUUAGAAGACAUUGGAGUCCAGUUCUAAACCUCUGUCAAGCUAUAGCUGAAUUAGGCCUUUUUUGCUUUCAUGAAAACUUGUUAUUUUGAUCUUAUGCUGCAUUAUAACACCUGUUACUUGUUAACCUCUGUCAUUAUAACUUGUGGCUACAUGGGAUUAACAUUUAGAUUCUCUGCUAUUUUCAAUGUAAUCAGAAACUGUACACACACCUGUUUGUUGAAAGUUUAUUGUCAUCUUACCUCAAAGUGAAUUGGUUGAUUGUCUAUAGUAAACUGUUGGUUAUCAUCUUUUAUAACGUGUCGAUUCAGAUAAUUGUCAGUCUGUGAAAGUAGUCAAACUAGACUAAGCGUUAUUUGACCCAAAAAGGUCUCACAUCAAAGGAUCGACCAAAGCACCAUAACAAGUUUCCUUUCUUAGAGUUUAAUAUUCCCCACAACUGUGUGUACUUUCUCUGUUACUGAAAGUGUUUGUGAAGCUGUAUUCAAAUCCUGUUUGUGUUGCUCUAAAUAUUGUCAAAUAAAUGGCUUGAAGCAUCAAUCAAUA